rnacentral:rRNA from 1 species
UAGGGAAUCUUGGACAAUGGGCGAAAGCCUGAUCCAGCCAUGCCGCGUGAGUGAUGAAGGCCUUAGGGUUGUAAAGCUCUUUCGCCAGGGAAGAUAAUGACGGUACCUGGAUAAGAAGCCCCGGCUAACUUCGUGCCAGCAGCCGCGGUAAUACGAAGGGGGCUAGCGUUGUUCGGAAUUACUGGGCGUAAAGCGCACGUAGGCGGCUUUCCAAGUUGGGGGUGAAAUCCCCGGGCUUAACCCGGGAACUGCCUCCAAAACUGAAAGGCUAGAGUCCGAGAGAGGUGAGUGGAAUUUCCAGUGUAGAGGUGAAAUUCGUAGAUAUUGGAAAGAACACCAGUGGCGAAGGCGGCUCACUGGCUCGGUACUGACGCUGAGGUGCGACAGCGUGGGGAGCAAACA